CUGACUUUCUACAUCAACAAAAUAAUAAUAUACAAUCAAUUAAAAUUUCUACAUCAAUAAAAUAAUAAUAUACAAUCAAUUAAAAUUUUAAUUCAUUAAAUCAAUCAGAUUACAUACGAAAGAAGAGAUCUAAAAAAAUCUUCAUCUUCCCAUCACUCUCUCUCUACCAAGAAAUACCCCUAAUUUUACUGAACCAAAAUCCAAAUCAGCAGAAAACUCAGAUCCCAAAUCUCUCACAGACCCACCCUCCCGUGGCCACCACCCUCUGCCGCCUAAAUCCCCCUCUUCACCACCGUUGCCGCCUCCUCGCCAUCCACAUCCUUCCACCCUCCUCGAAGAACAGAUCUAAAAAAUGAUGGGAAUUGAAUAUAUUUUUUGGAAGAACAUAUCUAAAAAAAUGGAAACAGAAGCCAGCUGGAACAGCCCCGGCAAGGACAGAUUGUGUAAAAUCAAAAACGAAAAACCACCGCCGGGAGCGUCGGUAAGCGGCCUUCCUGACGCCGACAAGCGUUGUUGUUGUCAGUGGUGAUGGAACCCCUUGGACGAAAAAUGAUUUUCGUGGAUUGAUGAGGAUGAGCUCAACCUUUGUUGAUGAUUGGGAAUUUCUAUAAUAAUCUCUUGUAUAUGUCGUUAAUUUUGAUUUUGAUGAUGAUUAACUAUUUGCUUUUUAGUAUACGAAGCUGGUGAUGUCGUUUUGGAUUCGGAGAUUACUACUAAUUUCUCAACUUGAACGGAUUUCUUACCGGAGCAGGGACAUUUUUGUCCAAAAAACCAUUAGUGCCACUAGCAUUAGUACUAUUGGAUACUCCUCCUCUUUUCCCGUCCCGAUGAUAAUCAGAUUUAGAAGGGAAGUUUCUUAAAGACAGCCAAUGCGCCAGGGGAUUGAGAUCGAGAUCUAAAAAAAAUGAUGGGAAUUUGAUUUUUUAAUUGAUUAAGAUUUGAUUUAUCUUGAUAAAUAAAUUUGAUUUAAUUAAUGAAAAAAUAUUUUAUUUUUAUUAGUUUUUGUUUUGUUUUAUUAUGUUUUGUCAUUUUUAAAAUUUUAAAAUGUUAAAAAUUAAUUUUUUUAUUUUUAUUUUCAUAUCAUUGUUGCUGAUUGGCCACCU
rnacentral:lncRNA from 1 species